UACGUAGGGGGCUAGCGUUGUCCGGAAUCAUUGGGCGUAAAGCGCGUGUAGGCGGUCCGGUAAGUCCGCUGUGAAAGUCGGGGGCUCAACCCUCGGAUGCCGGUGGAUACUGUCGGGCUUGAGUACGGAAGAGGCGAGUGGAAUUCCUGGUGUAGCGGUGAAAUGCGUAGAUAUCAGGAGGAACACCAAUAGCGAAGGCAGCUCGCUGGGACGUUACUGACACUGAGGCGCGAAAGCGUGGGGAGCGAACAGG
rnacentral:rRNA from 1 species